rnacentral:rRNA from 1 species
AUGGUUUUCCCAGGAAGGGGAAGGAUCCGUGUCGAUGCUGACAGUGUUCAGAGGAUCACUACAUGGCUCAAGAUGAUUGAGCAUAUGGCUGGAAGAAUGGAUGACACAUUUUUUAUGGCCUGGCUUGCGGUUGCCUUCAGUACUUUUCUAGCACCAACCACGGCCUUGAAGCUCAGCCCAAAGUGUUAUGGACUUGUGCUAGAUCAUCAAAUGCUAAAGAAUACAAACAUCUGCCUCUUUGUAGCAGAACACAUUAACGAAGCUUUCCGGAACAUGGACCAGGAGAAGCAAACUGUUUGCUGCUGCUUGUAUCACUUGAUGAUACUAUACCUUGAUGCGCUCGUACAUGACAUCCCAGUAAGCAACUGCGUGAUACGAUCGAAUGCAUGGGAUAGUACUCUAAUUGCCAAGGUGAUCAAGAAGGAUACUAUCUCUCCUGGUGUGUUCGGCAAAUUACAACUUAAAGAGGAGUAUAGAGGCACGGAGCAUACACCACUGUUUGGUGGAAUUUUGCAAGCUGAAGCAUUUGUGGCAUCCAAGUUACCAAUAACAUACAAUCCGCAGAAAAAGGCAAAAAUUGCGAAAGUGCAGCCAUCAAUGCAAACUGGGGCAUCACGCCGUGCUCCAAAAAGAAAGAGACGACUGUCAACCAUACAAGAAGAAGAAGAAUUUGUUGAGGAUGAUUCAGAAGAAGAUGAGGAAAUGGGAGCAGCGAUAGAUGCUGACGACGAUGAGGAGACAAAUGCGGAUGAAUCAGAGGAGGAGGACAAGGAUGAGGAUGACAAUGAAGAAGAUGCAGAGGAGGAGGAGGAUGAGGAGGAAGAGGAGGAGGAGGAGGAGGAGGAGGACAAACAAGAAGAGGACAAAGGAGAGGAGGAGAACAAGGAAGAAGAUAGUGAUGCAGAGGAGGAGGAAGAAGAAGGUGAGGCCAGAGAGGGGGACAGGGACAAAGGGGCAGCAGUUGAUGGCAGUGAGAGGGGAGAAGACAAAGGCGCAGCAGCUGAUGGCAGUGAGAGGGAAGAAGACAAGGAUGAAGAAGACGACGAUGAUUAUGGUGAUGAUAAAGGGGGAUCCAAUGGAGGCAGCGACAGCAACGAUGACGAUGAUGAUGACAACGCUCCUGGUUCUGGUGGUACAGGUGGCAACACAUCCAGGAGGACUAGCACUCACGCCACCCCUGCGAGCAGCAGCAAUUCAUUGAGUAGCAGGAGCACACUACAGUUGUUGAUUGACAAGACUUGCUGGAAAGACAAGGAUUUGCCAAAGUCAAAGAAAAAUGACGAAGCAGAGUCUCAGGGAAGCAUUGAUAUGUUCAAGCUCUGCAACUUGAAGCCAGCUUUGCCAACCACCUUUCCCGUGCCAGAUUUCAGCGACAAAGAUAUGUGUGAGAAGAUCAACUUUGCCAUUGACAAGAGCCUGUUCUUAUCAACUGAAGCUGAAAAGAAUCAAAUUGACAUGGAGGAAGCAGGAAAGGGUCUUGACUGGGUUCAUUCAAAGGAAAAAUACAAGGAAUAUUUAAAGCAGCUCCCAGACCUAAGCUCCAGCAAGAGCAAGGCAGCAUCCAUGGCAAAGCCUCACGUGGUCCAGAAGUGUAAAGCAGUUUCAAUGAAGAAGAAUCUGCAGUUGCCUCAAACCAAGGAGAAGAUGAUGAGUGAAGAUGCUGAAGUAAAUAUGGUCAAGGAAGCUGUGCUUCAAACUGAUAUGCCAACAGUAGUGAGCAGAGAGCCAACCAAUGUCAGAGAAGUUUAA